UGGGGAAUAUUGCACAAUGGGCGCAAGCCUUAUGCAGCCAUGCCGCGUGUAUGAAGAAGGCCUUCGGGUUGUAAAGUACUUUCAGCGGGGAGGAAGGGAGUAAAGUUAAUACCUUUGCUCAUUGACGUUACCCGCAGAAGAAGCACCGGCUAACUCCGUGCCAGCAGCCGCGGUAAUACGGAGGGUGCAAGCGUUAAUCGGAAUUACUGGGCGUAAAGCGCACGCAGGCGGUUUGUUAAGUCAGAUGUGAAAUCCCCGGGCUCAACCUGGGAACUGCAUCUGAUACUGGCAAGCUUGAGUGUCGUAGAGGGGGGUAGAAUUCCAGGUGUAGCGGUGAAAUGCGUAGAGAUCUGGAGGAAUACCGGUGGCGAAGGCGGCCCCCUGGACGAAGACUGACGCUCAGGUGCGAAAGCGUGGGGAGCAAACAGG
rnacentral:rRNA from 1 species